rnacentral:rRNA from 1 species
AGAGUUUGAUCCUGGCUCAGGACGAACGCUGGCGGCGUGCCUAAUACAUGCAAGUAGAACGCUGAAGAGAGGAGCUUGCUCUUCUUGGAUGAGUUGCGAACGGGUGAGUAACGCGUAGGUAACCUGCCUUGUAGCGGGGGAUAACUAUUGGAAACGAUAGCUAAUACCGCAUAACAAUGGAUGACACAUGUCAUUUAUUUGAAAGGGGCAAUUGCUCCACUACAAGAUGGACCUGCGUUGUAUUAGCUAGUAGGUGAGGUAAUGGCUCACCUAGGCGACGAUACAUAGCCGACCUGAGAGGGUGAUCGGCCACACUGGGACUGAGACACGGCCCAGACUCCUACGGGAGGCAGCAGUAGGGAAUCUUCGGCAAUGGGGGCAACCCUGACCGAGCAACGCCGCGUGAGUGAAGAAGGUUUUCGGAUCGUAAAGCUCUGUUGUAAGUCAAGAACGGGUGUGAGAGUGGAAAGUUCACACUGUGACGGUAGCUUACCAGAAAGGGACGGCUAACUACGUGCCAGCAGCCGCGGUAAUACGUAGGUCCCGAGCGUUGUCCGGAUUUAUUGGGCGUAAAGCGAGCGCAGGCGGUUUGAUAAGUCUGAAGUUAAAGGCUGUGGCUCAACCAUAGUUCGCUUUGGAAACUGUCAAACUUGAGUGCAGAAGGGGAGAGUGGAAUUCCAUGUGUAGCGGUGAAAUGCGUAGAUAUAUGGAGGAACACCGGUGGCGAAAGCGGCUCUCUGGUCUGUAACUGACGCUGAGGCUCGAAAGCGUGGGGAGCGAACAGGAUUAGAUACCCUGGUAGUCCACGCCGUAAACGAUGAGUGCUAGGUGUCGGGGAGGAAUCCUCGGUGCCGCAGCUAACGCAAUAAGCACUCCACCUGGGGAGUACGACCGCAAGGUUGAAACUCAAAGGAAUUGACGGGGGCCC